AUACUUACCUGGCAGGGGAGAUACUAUGAUCACGAAGGUGGUUUUCCCAGGGUGAGGCUUAUCCACUGCACUCCAGAUGUGCUGACCCCUGCGAUUUCCCCAAAUGUGGGAAACUUGACUGCAUAAUUUGUGGUAGUGGGGGACUGUGUUCAUACUUUCCCCUG
rnacentral:snRNA from 1 species